GGGGAUUUAGCUCAGUGGUAGAGCGCUUGCCUAGCAAGCACAAGGCCCUGGGUUCGGUUCCCAGCCCCA
rnacentral:tRNA from 1 species